rnacentral:lncRNA from 1 species
AUUUUGAACUUUUUUUUUAAAAUAUCUCAAACACAUAUUAAUGUGAUUAUAUUUCUGAUAUCUAUCUGAAUUAAACACUGACAAUGAAAAUGAUUCAUUUCAAUUCUGAUUCAGGUGGCGAACCAAACAGAAUCAGGUAAUGAAUCAUUCCGAUUCUGUUUCCAGCUUAUUUUCAUUCUGAUUCCGACUUUGAACCAAACAUACUCUUACAACACUAUAACAAAAACGGUCUAUAGCGACACUUUUAAAUGUCGGUACAGGUCAAAAAAGUGCUGCUAGCUAAAUUACCGACACUUUCAAAAAGUGUUGCUAUAUGUGGGGUCGCUAGGUAUAUAGUGACAGUUAAAGAGUGUCGCUAUAACCUAAAAAGAGUGAUGCUAAUGCUAAUUUAUCAACACUUAUUUAAGCAUUUAGCAACCGCCGAAACUCUACCUUGUUGGCUGCGGUAGCGAAGGAGGACGAGAGGGAAGAGAUCUUUGUCUAGAAUUUCAAUGGAUUGAGUGAGGGAAGAAGGCAGAUAGUAAUCAAUUUUUCUUUUGUUUUCUUUUCUUUUCUGUUUGUAAUCGGGCCGAAUGAGCUGGGUGAGGUGGGUUGAGUAGAGUAACAUUUUAUUUUUGGUUCGAUUGGGCUUUAUACUUAGCCAUUAGUAGAUUUUUUAAAAAGUUUUGGUAUAAAUGGGACACUUACAUAAAAUUAUCACAAACAUGUGUCCCUAUAACCUAAUUCUGUUGUAGUGCAACUUCUUUGUGGCUAUAUAGUAUUGCAAUUUGUCAUAAUAUGUGUAGUACUAUGUGUAGACAAGUAUUAUAUAUAUUUUUUUUUUCGAGAGACAUAGGUAGCACGCUACCCGCUUUGUUUAUUUCAUUUAUAAAUAAACUUAGCUGAAAAUGUGAAUCAACUAGAAUUCGAAUUUGGGUUUCGGGUACCAA